AGCUUGAGAAGAGUUGCCUUGAUUUCUGACACCUUAUGCAAAAAUGCGUGUGCAGUCUGAUUGCUUUGCUAGAUGGAUGCGU